CGUGUAGGUGGGCUCCUAAGUCGGGGGUGAAAUCCCGUAGCUUAACUGCGGAAUUGCUUCCGAUACUGGGGGUCUUGAGUACGGCAGAGGGAGAUAGAAUUCAUGGUGUAGCGGUGAAAUGUGUAGAUAUCAUGAAGAAUACCGGUAGCGAAGGCGGUCUCCUGGUCCGUUACUGACACUGAGGCGCGAAAGCGUGGGGAGCAAACAGGAUUAGAUACCCUGGUAGUCCACGCCUUAAACGAUGGGUACUCGGUGCUGGAUCGCAAGGUUCAGUGCCAAAGCUAACGCAUUAAGUACCCCACCUGGGGAGUACGAUCGCAAGGUUGAA
rnacentral:rRNA from 1 species